rnacentral:rRNA from 1 species
CAGCCGCCGCGGUAAUACGGAGGGGGCUAGCGUUGUUCGGAAUUACUGGGCGUAAAGCGCACGUAGGCGGCUUUGUAAGUUAGAGGUGAAAGCCCGGAGCUCAACUCCGGAAUUGCCUUUAAGACUGCAGAGCUAGCAGGUGAGAGAGGUGAGUGGAAUUCCGAGUGUAGAGGUGAAAUUCGUAGAUAUUCGGAAGAACACCAGUGGCGAAGGCGGCUCACUGGCUCAUACUGGACGCUGAGGUGCGAAAGCGUGGGGAGCAAACAGGAUUAGAUACCCCCGUAGUCCCUGUCUCUUAUAA